ACCAGGUGUAUUCACUGCCAUCCACGGGACAAACUUGGGUCACCUCACAGUGCCCAGCAGGAGAGGCUCCUGGUGUGCUGGGCGCCCACCACUUCCCGCUGCUGCCUGCCUGUAAUAUCCACUCUGCUAAAGCCUUUCAUCUGCCCCUGAAGGCCCCAGUCCGCAGACUACCCACCCGCUGGGGCCCCAAGCUCUGCAGCAAGCCCAGGACCACUCCUCCCUGCCUGGCCAGCUUCAGAGCCCGGGGCCGCUCCUCCCUGCCUGCCUUUGCCCAAACUGUGCUUGGUUCUCUGGCUUCUCUCCUCUGACUGGAGCCCAGUCCCUGAGCUCAGACCCCCGUCCUUGGAACUGGGCCACACAACAUGCCCUCUUGGCCCAGCCUUCAUCCCAGACAGGCGGCCUGACUUACCUGGAUGAACUUCUCGGGACAGAGGCUCCUCAGGACCUUGGACACCGCCACCUGCUGAGCUUCCUGCCCCCGCUACCUGGUGGGGCCCCUGGGGUGCCCUCGGCAGCUCAGUCCAGCCUGCAUCUGCCGCUCAGCCUUCCAAUGUGGGCAGUGUUUCCCAGCCCCACGGACCAGCCCAUCAUUCAGGGCCAAUAGGAUGGACUCCAGAUGCGGAAUGACACCUCACCAAGUGCUGGCCCCAGGUCCUGCCCACAGAGACGCCUGCAGCAGCGCACAGCUGGCAGGGCCACCUCCACCUCUCUAGCAGCGGGCAGGCUGGUAGAGCAGAUUAGCCCCAAAGCAGGAAAUUCCAGAUGAAAUAUGCAUAAGAAGCAGCCUCAAAACUAACAAAAAGAAAUUGCCUGCUCCUCAGUUCACAGGAGGAGCAGAGAUGAAGAAAAAAAAAGCGCUUGGAAGAGAGAAAAGGAAGCUCCUUCUGCGCAGCGGGCUCCUGGCCCGGGAAGGGUGGUCUGCAGCAGAGUGCGUGCAGGGAGGCACCCUCUGAAACGUCUGGAAAUAGCUGCAGGCCUUCCACUUGGCUCCCAAACUUCUUCAGAGUCCAAAUCACCACAGUGGCCAACUUGGCGGCAGUGACCUCGGCACUCCGUGUCCUCAGGCUGCAACAAAGCCAUCCUACUUGGGCAGUGAGAACAUGGGGCGGGGGCUCCUGACUCCAGUGAGGCCACCCUGGAGGGGAGUCCCAGGCAUCAACCUGAUGUUCAGAACCUUCCUGGCAUCUCAGAAAUGUACUGGGGAGACUGAGGAUCCUUGAGCCAAGUGUCCGUGUUCUCAUUGAACGUCAAACCCACAGCCCACAAGCUUCUCAGGAGCAUGGCACAUGCACCCAGCCCCCAGGCUCUGCCUGGGCAGCACCUCCUGGGCCGCCCUGACCAGCAGACACCACCCGCCCAGCCUCAC